UUUUAGUCCCAAAAUCAUUACUUACGGUGGUGAGAAAAAAAGUCAUUCCCAGUACAAAUUCUCCUUAAUGUCCACUCGUGGGGACUUACCGGGAAUGACUUUUUUCUCACCACCGUAAGUAAUGAUUUUGGGACUAAAA